CGAACGCUGGCGGCGUGCUUAACACAUGCAAGUCGAACGGAGAGGCCCUGCUUGCAGGGUACUCGAGUGGCGAACGGGUGAGUAACACGUGGGUGAUCUGCCCUGCACUUCGGGAUAAGCCUGGGAAACUGGGUCUAAUACCGGAUAGGAGCCAUUUUUAGUGUGAUGGUUGGAAAGUUUUUUCGGUGUAGGAUGAGCUCGCGGCCUAUCAGCUUGUUGGUGGGGUAAUGGCCUACCAAGGCGGCGACGGGUAGCCGGCCUGAGAGGGUGGACGGCCACAUUGGGACUGAGAUACGGCCCAGACUCCUACGGGAGGCAGCAGUGGGGAAUAUUGCACAAUGGGCGCAAGCCUGAUGCAGCGACGCCGCGUGGGGGAUGACGGCCUUCGGGUUGUAAACUCCUUUCGCUAGGGACGAAGCUUUUUGUGACGGUACCUAGAUAAGAAGCACCGGCUAACUACGUG
rnacentral:rRNA from 1 species